CCGGAGAAACCCAAAAGAUCGAAUGGGGAGAUUCAUCGUCAGCGAUGUNGGUACGUGUUCGGUUCGCGAUGCCGCGGGAUUUAUUCCGUGGCACGCGUCCGGAUGUUCCAUUCUCAAUCUCGUCGGCGUGCACUUCUCCCCUAGUAGGACGUCGCGACCCGUUGGGUGUCGGUCUACGGCCCGGGUGGUAGCCUGUCUCGUGUGCGUCUCACGGCGUUACGCGGGGCAGACCCCCGGAUGCCCGACCGGCUGCCCGGCGGUACUCGCAAGGUAUCUGGCCGCAAAUAUUCAAUCUGCGUCCGGCCCGUCGCAAGCGCGGCAAGUGUCCCGGCUGUACGGAUGUAAUGCCGUCAUCGGGCCUUGCCAGCUGAUGGUUGACGGUGUCCUAGGACUGGCCGUAACAAUUAUGAUACCGGUCGGCGACGCUAUUGCUUUGG
rnacentral:rRNA from 1 species